GGCCCCAUCGUCUAGCGGUCAGGACACCGCCCUCUCACGGCGGCGACACGGGUUCGAGUCCCGUUGGGGCUGCCA
rnacentral:tRNA from 1 species